rnacentral:rRNA from 1 species
GACGGAGGGUGCAAGCGUUGUUCGGAAUUACUGGGCGUAAAGGGCGCGUAGGCGGUCUGCUAAGUUCGGUGUGAAAUCCCUCGGCUUACCCGGGGAACGGCGCUGGAAACUGGCAGACUCGAGUACCGGAGAGGAGGGUGGAAUUCCUGGUGUAGCGGUGAAAUGCGUAGAUAUCAGGAGGAACACCGGUGGCGAAGGCGGCCCUCUGGACGGAUACUGACGCUGAGGCGCGAAAGCGUGGGGAUCAAACAGG